GGUCAAGCUACAAAGGGCUAAUGGUGGAUACCUAGGCACACAGAGGUGAAGAAGGACGUGGUUACCGACGAUAUGCCCCGGGGAGUUGGAAGCAAGCUUUGAGCCGGGGGUUUCCGAAUAGGGCAACCUUUAAUACUUUCUACUGAAUAUAUAGGUAGACAAGAACAAACCCAGCGAACUGAAACAUCUUAGUAGCUGGAGGAAAAGAAAGCAAAUAGCGAUUCUCUAAGUAGUGGUGAGCGAAAGGAGAACAGCCUAAACCGAAGUGCAUGCACUUCGGGGUUGUGGGACAGCAAUAUCGAAUCUAGACGUUAGAUGAAGCAACUAAAUAUUGCACCAUAGAAGGUGAAAGUCCUGUAAUCGAAAAUGAAAGGAUAGUAGCUGAAUCCCGAGUAGCAUGGAGCACGUGGAAUUCCAUGUGAAUCAGCGAGGACCACCUCGUAAGGCUAAAUACUACUGUGUGACCGAUAGUGAACAAGUACCGCGAGGGAAAGGUGAAAAGAACCCCGGGAGGGGAGUGAAAUAGAACAUGAAACCAUUAGCCUACAAGCAGUUAGAGCACGAUUUAACGUGUGAUAGCGUGCCUGUUGAAGAAUGAGCCGGCGACUUAUAGGUACUGGUAGGUUAAGUCGGAAAUGACGGAGCCAAAGAGAAAUCGAGUCUGAAUAGGGCGUUAAUCAGUAUUUAUAGACCCGAACCCUGGUGAUCUAACCAUGGCCAGGAUGAAGCUUGGGUGAUACCAAGUGGAGGUCCGCACCGACCGAUGUUGAAAAAUCGGCGGAUGAGCUGUGGUUAGGGGUGAAAUGCCAAUCGAACCAGGAGCUAGCUGGUUCUCCCCGAAAUGUGUUGAGGCGCAGCGGUAA
rnacentral:ncRNA from 1 species